CAGGCUUAACACAUGCAAGUCGAGGGGCAUCAGGAAGAAAGCUUGCUUUCUUUGCUGGCGACCGGCGCACGGGUGAGUAACACGUAUCCAACCUGCCCUUUACUCGGGGAUAGCCUUUCGAAAGAAAGAUUAAUACCCGAUAGCAUAAUGAUUCCGCAUGGUUUCAUUAUUAAAGGAUUCCGGUAAAGGAUGGGGAUGCGUUCCAUUAGGUUGUUGGUGAGGUAACGGCCCACCAAGCCUUCGAUGGAUAGGGGUUCUGAGAGGAAGGUCCCCCACAUUGGAACUGAGACACGGUCCAAACUCCUACGGGAGGCAGCAGUGAGGAAUAUUGGUCAAUGGGCGCUAGCCUGAACCAGCCAAGUAGCGUGAAGGAUGAAGGCUCUAUGGGUCGUAAACUUCUUUUAUAUAAGAAUAAAGUGCAGUAUGUAUACUGUUUUGUAUGUAUUAUAUGAAUAAGGAUCGGCUAACUCCGUGCCAGCAGCCGCGGUAAUACGGAGGAUCCGAGCGUUAUCCGGAUUUAUUGGGUUUAAAGGGAGCGUAGGUGGACUGGUAAGUCAGUUGUGAAAGUUUGCGGCUCAACCGUAAAAUCGCAGUUGAUACUGUCAGUCUUGAGUACAGUAGAGGUGGGCGGAAUUCGUGGUGUAGUGGUGAAAUGCUUAGAUAUCACGAAGAACUCCGAUUGCGAAGGCAGCUCACUGGACUGCAACUGACACUGAUGCUCGAAAGUGUGGGUAUCAAACAGGAUUAGAUACCCUGGUAGUCCACACAGUAAACGAUGAAUACUCGCUGUUUGCGAUAUACAGUAAGCGGCCAAGCGAAAGCAUUAAGUAUUCCACCUGGGGAGUACGCCGGCAACGGUGAAACUCAAAGGAAUUGACGGGGGCCCGCACAAGCGGAGGAACAUGUGGUUUAAUUCGAUGAUACGCGAGGAACCUUACCCGGGCUUAAAUUGCAGUGGAAUGAUGUGGAAACAUGUCAGUGAGCAAUCACCGCUGUGAAGGUGCUGCAUGGUUGUCGUCAGCUCGUGCCGUGAGGUGUCGGCUUAAGUGCCAUAACGAGCGCAACCCUUAUCUUUAGUUACUAACAGGUUAUGCUGAGGACUCUAGAGAGACUGCCGUCGUAAGAUGUGAGGAAGGUGGGGAUGACGUCAAAUCAGCACGGCCCUUACGUCCGGGGCUACACACGUGUUACAAUGGGGGGUACAGAAGGCAGCUAGCGGGUGACCGUAUGCUAAUCCCAAAAUCCUCUCUCAGUUCGGAUCGGAGUCUGCAACCCGACUUCGUGAAGCUGGAUUCGCUAGUAAUCGCGCAUCAGCCACGGCGCGGUGAAUACGUUCCCGGGCCUUGUACACACCGCCCGUCAAGCCAUGGGAGCCGGGGGUACCUGAAGUACGUAACCGCAAGGAUCGUCCUAGGGUAAAACUGGUGACUGGGGCUAA
rnacentral:rRNA from 1 species